ACGAACGCUGGCGGCGUGCUUAACACAUGCAAGUCCCACGGAAAGGCCCUGCUUUUGUGGGGUGCUCGAGUGGCGAACGGGUGAGUAACACGUGAGUAACCUGCCCUUGACUUUGGGAUAACUUCAGGAAACUGGGGCUAAUACCGGAUAGGAGCUCCUGCUGCAUGGUGGGGGUUGGAAAGUUUCGGCGGUUGGGGAUGGACUCGCGGCUUAUCAGCUUGUUGGUGGGGUAGUGGCUUACCAAGGCUUUGACGGGUAGCCGGCCUGAGAGGGUGACCGGCCACAUUGGGACUGAGAUACGGCCCAGACUCCUACGGGAGGCAGCAGUGGGGAAUAUUGCACAAUGGGCGGAAGCCUGAUGCAGCAACGCCGCGUGCGGGAUGACGGCCUUCGGGUUGUAAACCGCUUUCGCCUGUGACGAAGCGUGAGUGACGGUAAUGGGUAAAGAAGCACCGGCUAACUACGUG
rnacentral:rRNA from 1 species